GCAACGCCGCGUGGUGUGAAGAAGGGUUUCGGAUUGUAAAACUCUGUUGUCAGGGAAGAACAACUGUGUUAGUAACUGCACGUUUCUUGACGGUACCUUACCAGAAAGCCACGGCUAACUACGUGCCAGCGCCGCGGUAA
rnacentral:rRNA from 1 species